rnacentral:miRNA from 1 species
CCAUUCAACUAUCUGUCUUCUC